UACAGAGGGUGCAAGCGUUAAUCGGAUUUACUGGGCGUAAAGCGUGCGUAGGCGGUUCAUUAAGUCGGUUGUGAAAUCCUUGGGCUUAACCUGGGAACUGCAGUCGAUACUGGUGGACUAGAAUGCGGUAGAGGGUGGCGGAACUCCGGGUGUAGCGGUGAAAUGCGUAGAUAUCUGGAGGAACACCGGUGGCGAAGGCGGCAUCCUGGACCGGCAUUGACGCUGAGUGAGCGAAAGCCAGGGGAGCAAACGGG
rnacentral:rRNA from 1 species